rnacentral:lncRNA from 1 species
UACCAAACUCAAAACAAUGUCAUUCACUUAAAAUAAGAACAAACAAUCUUAAUCCAUUCACUUUCUUAUCUCGUAGAGGUAAAGAAACUAUGAAUUAUCAAAAUAGAAAAAUAUGUUCAACAAUGGAGAAAAUAAGGCAAUUAAGCCACUGUUUUUUUCCCUGAUGCAAAAUGUUGCAGCUUUUUGGAUCAGUGUGUCAUUCCUUCCUUGAAAGAUCUCACCAUUUGAAUG